rnacentral:rRNA from 1 species
GGUCUGUAACUGACGCUGAGGCUCGAAAGCGUGGGGAGCAAACAGGAUUAGAUACCUGGUAGUCCACGCCGUAAACGAUGAGUGCUAAGUGUUGGAGGUUUCCCCUUCAGUGCUGCAGCAAACGCAUUAAGCACUCCGCUGGGGAGUACGACCGCAAGGUUGAAACUCAAAGGAAUUGACGGGGGCCCGCACAAGCGGUGGAGCAUGUGGUUUAAUUCGAAGCAACGCGAAGAACCUUACCAGGUCUUGACAUCCUUUGACCACUCUAGAGAUAGAGCUUUCCCUUCGGGGACAAAGUGACAGGUGGUGCAUGGUUGUCGUCAGCUCGUGUCGUGAGGUGUUGGGUUAAGUCCCGCAACGAGCGCAACCCUUAUUGUUAGUUGCCAUCAUUCAGUUGGGCACUCUAGCGAGACUGCCGGUGACAAACCGGAGGAAGGUGGGGAUGACGUCAAAUCAUCAUGCCCCUUAUGACCUGGGCUACACACGUGCUACAAUGGGAAGUACAACGAGUCGCUAGGCCGCGAGGUCAUGCAAAUCUCUUAAAGCUUCUCUCAGUUCGGAUUGUAGGCUGCAACUCGCCUACAUGAAGCCGGAAUCGCUAGUAAUCGCGGAUCAGCACGCCGCGGUGAAUACGUUCCCGGGCCUUGUACACACCGCCCGUCACACCACGAGAGUUUGUAACACCCGAAGUCGGUGAGGUAACCUUUAGGAGCCAGCCGCCUAAGGUGGGAUAGAUGAUUGGGGUGAAGUCGUAACAAGGUAACCA